GAUGAACGCUGGCGGCGUGCCUAAUACAUGCAAGUCGAGCGAACAGACGAGGAGCUUGCUCCUUUGACGUUAGCGGCGGACGGGUGAGUAACACGUGGGUAACCUACCUAUAAGACUGGGAUAACUUCGGGAAACCGGAGCUAAUACCGGAUAAUAUUUCGAACCGCAUGGUUCGAUAGUGAAAGAUGGCUUUGCUAUCACUUAUAGAUGGACCUGCGCCGUAUUAGCUAGUUGGUAAGGUAACGGCUUACCAAGGUAACGAUACGUAGCCGACCUGAGAGGGUGAUCGGCCACACUGGAACUGAGACACGGUCCAGACUCCUACGGGAGGCAGCAGUAGGGAAUCUUCCGCAAUGGGCGAAAGCCUGACGGAGCAACGCCGCGUGAGUGAUGAAGGUCUUCGGAUCGUAAAACUCUGUUAUUAGGGAAGAACAAACGUGUAAGUAACUGUGCACGUCUUGACGGUACCUAAUCAGAAAGCCACGGCUAACUACGUG
rnacentral:rRNA from 1 species